AAGUCGUAACAAGGUUUCCGUAGGUGAACCUGCGGAAGGAUCAUUAACACAAUUUUGAUUCACAAAUCUCUUUGCUUCGUUAUCUUUUUUUUCUAGAUGCAAGAAAUUCCAUCUAGAGAAAGAGUAACAAGCAAUUAACCCCCUUUCUAUGACGAAAAAUCUUUACAAAAGAAUGGAAGAAAAGGAAUGUGUUUCGUCACAAUCCGUUUCAACCGUUUUUUUCCUUUACCCAACUUUUUUUACCCCUUUUACAACAUGUAAUAGACUGAAAACAAAAAACUUGUAUUCUAGAUCUCUAGAAUAUCUAAAAAACUAAGAAAACAACUCUUAGCAACGGAUAUCUAGGUUCUC
rnacentral:misc_RNA from 1 species